AUUGAACGCUGGCGGCAGGCCUAACACAUGCAAGUCGAGCGGAUGAGGGAAGCUUGCUUCCCGAUUUAGCGGCGGACGGGUGAGUAAUGCCUAGGAAUCUGCCUAUUAGUGGGGGAUAACGUUCCGAAAGGAACGCUAAUACCGCAUACGUCCUACGGGAGAAAGUGGGGGAUCUUCGGACCUCACGCUAAUAGAUGAGCCUAGGUCGGAUUAGCUAGUUGGUGGGGUAACGGCUCACCAAGGCGACGAUCCGUAGCUGGUCUGAGAGGAUGAUCAGCCACGCUGGAACUGAGACACGGUCCAGACUCCUACGGGAGUCAGCAGUGGGGAAGAUUGGACAAUGGGCGAAAGCCUGAUCCAGCCAUGCCGCGUGUGUGAAGAAGGUCUUCGGAUUGUAAAGCACUUUAAGUUGGGAGGAAGAGUUGUAAGCUAAUAUCUUGCAGCUUUGACGUUACCAACAGAAUAAGCACCGGCUAACUCUGUGCCAGCAGCCGCGGUAAAAC
rnacentral:rRNA from 1 species